CCUAGAGGUGAAAGGAGCAUCAGAGGCCAUUCAGUCCAGUCUGUUAUCUUACAGUUGAGGCAGAUGAGGCCCAGAAAAGUUGUGACCCUCAAUGUCACACAGCCUGGCACCGUGACAGAUUAUCGGGAGUCAAAAGCUGAGGCGAGGUUUUGAUGGGAAAACUGGUCCACACAGAGCUCUCCCUAUUCCACAAUUGCAAGUCAGUUCAGCAUUGCUUCGGGAUUUGAUGCCACCAAUACAAUGUCACACACAAACAGAAGCCUCGAGAGGACCUUACAAUAGAUGGGGAAUACCUCUUCAACUUGGAAUCUGAAUUGGACCUCUGCCAUCAAAGAGCUACAAAAGGUGGUCCCAACAGAACCUGGGAUUUCAAGCCAUGAUGACCAGCCCAGCAUGGAAGCCCCAAGAAGUCAAGAAUUGGUUAUUCAGCAUUUAUCAGCACACCCGUGGUUGUGGGUGCAGAGGAGACUAUCCAGCCCUUUUACCUUUUUGGCCCAAGAAAAAGCAAUGUGUAUCCUCAUAAAGAAGAACCCAGGUACGGAUGGCU